ensembl:lncRNA
UCCUGAGAUAGGUUGGUUGACAGAACUUGCAGAAUAUUAGAUUAAGGGUUUUUGUUUCUUUUAUUUUACAAUAUCAUUGUAAUUGGAGUGAUACAUUGGAAUGACAUAAGUAAUUGAAUAAAACGUAUAGUCUGUUGUGUGAUAACACCCAAGGAUGAAGAAGACAUUACAAAUAGUGGUAAUUUAUUGCAAAUAUGCAGUUAUUAUAAUUUACUUUACUAUUUUUCUUGUUUGGUCAAUUUCUUUUUGUUUUGAGGAAAAUAAGUGUCUGAGGGGAGACUGAUAAAUUGACUAAAAAUGAUUUGAGAAUGUUUAGGUAUGUAUCAAACUAUGAAAGGAAUUUAGGAGUAGUGACUUGUGUGUUAUGGGUUAGAAACUGUAACUACAUUGGGGAUUCAUAUGAAGGUUAUGAUAACAAGGGGGGGGUGUUAUUUCUAGAAACAAUGUAUAUUAAUAGACAAGAUAAUUCACAGAAAAGGAAGGACAGUUGGUCUUGUAGAAAUAUAGGGACAAUUCUAAGGGUAGAUAGAACAUUACACACACCUAGAUUAUGGUAAAAGUAAUAAGUAGUGGCAUUUUGAAGAAGCUUAGGACUUAGUUUUGUUAGGAUUGGAUAUUCUUUCAACUGGAAGACACUUGACUGAUUAUGAAUAUUUUUGUGGCAAGAGGCCAGGUAUUUGAGACAGAAUGUUUACAUAACAGAAUGUUUACAUGGGGCUGUCAUUUAAGAAAGUCUGUUGUCAGGAAAUAACCCAUGUGUUAGUAUGAAUAUCCCCAGGAAAAGAGCACAUAAGACGCCAGAUGGAAGGGCAUGGGCUGAAUUCUGGAGACUGAGUGUACGUCAAGAUACACCAGGCUGGGGAUAUACUUCUUACAGCACCUGCAGUAGUAAAGAUCGUCAUGUCUCUCUUUGAUGGGUGCAUAAGUUUCACAAGAAGUAAGGCCCAGCUGAAUAAUGGGUGAGCUUGAAAACACCAUGACAGAGGACGUGAAACAAAACAAAAAAGAGAGAGAGAGAGAGAGACUAGAUUCUACUGUAGACAUACUGGGUUGAGUUUGGGGGUUAUUUGGUUUAUUUGAUAAUGUAUCAUGUGAAUAAGGAUAGAUAUUAGGGUAGUUGGACCUAAACCACAUGUUGAAGGCUCGAUGUGGAAGCCCAUUCAGUGUUGAAUUACUUCAAGAAGAAAUAAUGUUGAUUAAGGUUAUGCACAUGCUUAUCAGUUGAUAUAGAGCAAAUAGGGAACUAAGUUUAAAAAAAAUGACAUGAUUUGGGAACACCUCUCAGAACCUGUGGCCGAAAGGGGAAGACUGGAUAAAAGCAUGAGGAAGCUAAUUAGGGCCUCCAUUUUUGUAGAGUCCAGCAGAAACACAUCCUGAAAGCAUAGAGUCGGGUGAAGAGAGAGUGGGAAUUGUCAUGGUCUUAGAUUUCAGUAUUUAUGAAUACAGUCAUGCAUAACACAUAACAUUGUCAAUACUGUUAUGUUGUGUCUUUUGUUUUACAAGUCUUUUGUUUAGGAAACCAGAUGGAGAAGGGUUCGCCAGCUUCAGCUGGAAUGUCAGUUUGUGUGAUGAGUGAUGGAAGUAAGAGAAUGUAUGGUGUAAUCGUAGAACAGAGGCCAUAAGUCUUUAAGUAUGAAUGCCCCACAGAAAGAAGGCAGAAACCUGAACCAGGACGAGAGGUUCCACAUCUGAUGAUCCAAGGAGACCAGAAGGACCUCUCCCAGUGAUACCAGGAGAUCCAGUCUACGGUCGAGUGUUCCGAAGGAAGUGGGAUCAGCCGAGGAGAGAAGGACCCUACGAGGUGGCAACGGCCACAAUCACGGCCGUCCAAGUGAAAGGAAGCAAGACGUGGUAUCAUCUAAACCACUGCACCCGAGUCCCGACGGAGAGAAGGACACAACCAUACAGAGAUGAGGACACAGAGGAUGCUGAUUCACCAGAGGGGACCCCAGAGGGAGCAGGAGCAGAGGAAUCGAUCAAAGCCCCGGGAGGACUCAAGAAAAUGGCAGACCAGAUACAACGAGUGCAUCAGCUAACACACUCAGAAGAAGCACCAGGGGAAAAGAGCCUGAAAAGAAAAGAGCCUGAAAAGAAAAGAGACAAACGACCAAAGUUUCCUCCAGUAUGGCCAGAAAGCCCAGAAGUGGGAGGGGUAACAUGUCUGCCACUCCUGAUGAUAUACCUGUUGGGGCAGGCCUCUUUGACAGAAGCACUCUACAGAGGGGCUCCGAGGUAUUGCCUAAAGAAUGGGAACAUCUCUUCCCUGAAAUGGACACCUUCCAAAUGGAAGCCCAGUCCGGCCUGAGGAGGGAGCUUCAGGGGAGGAAAGAAGGAGAGACCCCACUAACGAGAAGGAAAAGUCGAGUGAGCUGAAGAAAAUGGCAAUUUCCCCAAAAAUAGAUUUUUCAGCUCUUACCUGAUCUCCAUAAUGAACCAUUGGAAUUAGGACCACGAAAGAACAGUGACAAUGACAGAGUAAGAGCGACUGAGGACAAUACGAAGAUGAUGCACGCACUCACCAUCAAGAUAAAGGAUAAAAGCAUGAAGAGAAGAGAGGAGCCUGUCGAACGAGGUAAAAAGACAGGACCUGUUGAUAGGUUUAAGUUUCAUGUUCCGCCACAACUUCCAACAGAACCAGGGGAACAGAGGACAGUUUCUGUAUGGAAGAAGAAACCUGUACCGGAGGAGCCACUCUGUGGAUGGACGCGUCAUAUAACAAAGGGAGAAGCUGUUUGGGACCUCAAAGGAUGUGACCUGACACUAACCAAACGUGUGGAAGGCUGGGAGUUUAUCAUGAACAAGAUGACACCAGCAGAAGGUGAAGAAUUUGAAAUUGAAAUAACAAGAACAGGACUGAGUGAAGGAAACAGUUACGAAUAUGUUAAAUUGGGUCCUAUGCAAGCACCUGAACAAAAACUGCUGGUGACAACCAAAGUAAUGACAACAAUGGUGGCGGCUGCUGAAACGACCAACUACCACUGAGAUGACACCAACUGCUCUUACCAAGCAGACCACGGCAAUCACAAAGACACCUGACACAUCAGAGCCAAAAGGAUUCUUUAAUGAGAUUUGGAAUUCUUUUUCAAACUCAAAUGAUCUAUCUCAUGACAAGAACAUUGCCAAGAUGACAGAUAUAGAUGUAUCAGACUCAGAAUCGUUCAAAGACACCACACAGGAAGAAGGGUGAAAAACGAAUGUACCUGAACCUGCAUCGUUUGAAGAAAUGUGUUAAAUGUAAAAUGUUCAAUAUUCAGAGAAAAUACUACAUUCCUUUGUGUGACAUAGAAUGUAGGAUUGCCCAUGGGAGCACUAGAGGCAGGACUGUGUUGAACAACAUUGGGUUGGGUGACAAGGAUUGUGCUGUCUAUAACAUUUGAACUGAAUUAAAUGGACCUUUGUUAGAUGGAAACACUGUGAUUAAAGGAAUAUAUGAAUGUUUUAACAGCCAUAACACCGAAGGUAUUGAUGUAGGAAACACCACUGUAGAAUGUGAUACUAUUUGGGUACUAGAGACUGCAGGGGUUCGUAGAAAUAAAGAUAAAGGGUUGGUGAGGAAUAGAAAAGGGUUGUGUGGUAAAAUAACUCAGGUUGCGCCAUCUCUUAUUAUGCUAAACAAUCAAGACAGAGGUCUUGAGGAUAGUUCUGGAUGUGUGGAAAUAACAAACUGUUGAAUGUACUGCCAGAUGGAUCCUUUGCAAUCGCUAUGGCUAAACUUAAAGGGUUACGAGUAGAGGUUAAGGCAAAUGCUGGGGUUGACUCUCAUGUUUGGGAUUGGUUAGACUUAGCAUUGGGGAAAUGGGGAGCCAUGUUUGCUAGGAUGACCUUUAUGCUGGGAGGGGGGAUAUUGGCUCUGGGUAUUGUAUUUUGUUGUGUUUUACCCUGGGUGAAAUCACUUGUGAUCCAGACAACGGUUAAACAGAUGUUUGUAAGUAGAGCUGACACUCCGGUGAUAGUUGAUUCUGUGCCGGGUAGGCCAGGCCACUAUACUGAUGGGAAUGGACAGUUAUGCAAUGUGGUUGGUGGACCCCCUGACUGCCCUUUUGGUAAUCCAAACUGCCUGUAUGGAGUGGUCUCUGGAGGUGGUUACACUUGCCAGGGUUUUCAUGAGGAUGGUUUACAUGUAGAUGCUGACAUUCCAAAGUCAACUGAUACGUAUCCACAAAAAGGGUAUUUUCCAUAGUAAAUACAGGGGUACUAUGUAUUUCUAUUUUUGCUUUUGGUCUUGUGUUUUUGUAUGUUUUGUUGAAUGUUUUUAUAGGUAUAUCGAUGAAUAUAUCUGGGUUUUCUUUUAAUUAAAAGUUAGUUUUGCCAAAAACAUGAAGGUAACAGUGGGAUAUCCCGGUUAUAAGUGUCUAUGGACCAUGUCCUUAAUCUUUUAACAGAGGUUGGUAUCAUGUUUGUUGGAGAGGUGUUUGAGAGGGAGGAUCAUGUUGAAAGCCUAAAUGUAGAAUGAUGUUGUGUCAAUUUGACUUUGUACCUACAUACUCAUGCUUCAACAGAAUGUUAUGUAUUUAUUUUAUUGUUUGCUUCUAACUAGAUCUUUUACUCUUAUGAAAUACUAGAGAUGUUUGGUCUAAGUUAAUUAGGAAGCUUGAUUUUUGUUAAUCAACUGUUGAUAUUAUGUUCCGGAUAUGUCCUUUUAAGUUUUUUGGUGCUUAUUAAAGCACCAGAGGGAGGUUAUGUGGGAGAAUUAUAUACAUGAUUUGAUAACAAAAGAGAAAAUGUACAUUUAUGGGUUCAUUCCUGUUCUGGUAAAGUGCAUUUUCUAUUGAAUAGGGCAGAAAGCCGAGAAAGACCAUGGGAGUAUGGAACAGCCGGGAACACUAAAGGAAUGCAGACACAUAGACGCCUAGAAAUGACUGGACAUACAAAGGUCAGAGUGAUAUAUCAAGGAGGGAGUCAGCCAAAUGACCCCAGAUGAAUUACAGAUAUCAGUUACAUCGCAGGGGAGACACAAGUCUGUUUAAUCUUAUACAAACAUAUGAAGAGAAGGCGACCAGAACAGCUAGUCACAGGAAAGGGGGAUGUAUAUUAUCUUUAGGUCAAAAGAAGGGUCUUGUAAUCAUUUUUAAUCUGACUGAAAGCAGAUGUGGGCGUUACUGGGCUGAACAAGCAGGAAGCACGGAUUGGGAUGGAACUUAAUUUGCAUAUGGGAGGGACUUAUAUGAGUGGUGCGUCACCAAGAUGUGUCCCCCCGCCACUGGGGAAGGAGAGAUCGGUUCCGCCUGGAGGUGUCGGGGGGAGGGCAGGGGGCGAAACGGGAGGAGAGGCCACUGCCCAGAAUCGACCCACUAGCCCCCCGAGACUCCUCCCUCCCUCUCUCACUCACUCCUCUACCUUACUUCACAUUGCCCCAGAAAGUUCGGAGACUGUCCCAGUUUGCAGUGUCGGUGGUGAUGGGUGUGGUCUGCUCACCAUGGUGUUUCUACGGUAACCAGAAGAGGAGAUGAUGUUUCCAUGGAGAUUCAGACCAAGAUCCCCCCCCCCUGUUCAUUCCCCAGACCAAUCUGAUGUGUUCUAGGGGCCAACAGUGCUGAUAUGUCCAACAGGGCUGAUAUGGUCUAGGGACCAACAGGGCUGAUAUGUCCAACAGGGCUGAUAUGGUCUAGGGACCAACAGGGCUGAUAUGUUCUAGGGACCAACAGGGCUGAUAUGUUCUAGGGACCAACAGGGCUGAUAUGUUCUAGGGACCAACAGGGCUGAUAUGUCCAACAGGGCUGAUAUGUUCUAGGGACCAACAGGGCUGAUAUGUUCUAGGGGCCAACAGGGCUGAUAUGUUCUAGGGACCAACAGGGCUGAUAUGUUCUAGGGACCAACAGGGCUGAUAUGUUCUAGGGACCAACAGGGCUGAUAUGUUCUAGGGGCCAACAGGGCUGAUAUGUUCUAGGGACCAACAGGGCUGAUAUGUUCUAGGGACCAACAGGGCUGAUAUGUUCUAGGGACCAACAGGGCUGAUAUGUUCUAGGGGCCAACAAGGCUGAUAUGUUCUAGGGGUCAACAGGGCUAAUAUGUUCUAGGGGUCAACAGGGCUGAUAUGUUCUAGGGGUCAACAGGGCUAAUAUGUUCUAGGGGUCAACAGGGCUGAAAUGUGAAACUGCAUGUAAAGCAUACAUUUAAACAAGUGGUAAACAAACAUAUGUGUACACUAACAUACAUGUAAACAAACCAACAUGUACUGUAAACAAACAUACGUGUACACUGACAUACACACAUGUAAACAAACCAACAUGUACUGUAAACAAACAUACAUGUACACUGACAUACAUAUAUGUAAACAAACCAACAUGUACUGUAAACAAACAUAUGUGUACACUAACAUACAUGUAAACAAACCAACAUGUACUGUAAACAAGCAUACAUGUACACUAACAUACAUGUAAACAAACCAACCUGUACUGUAAACAAACAUAAGUGUACACUAACAUACAUGUAAACAAACCAACAUGUACUGUAAACAAACAUACAUGUACACUGACAUACAUACAUGUAAACAAACCAACAUGUACUGUAAACAAACAUACAUGUACACUAACAUACAUGUAAACAAACCAACAUGUACUGUAAACAAACAUACAUGUACACUAACAUACAUGUAAACAAACCAACAUGUACUGUAAACAAACAUACAUGUACACUAACAUACAUGUAAACAAACCAACAUGUACUGUAAACAAACAUACAUGUACACUGACAUACAUACAUGUAAACAAACCAACAUGUACGGUAAACAAACAUACGUGUACACUGACAUACAUACAUGUAAAAAAAAAACAUGUACUGUAAACAAACAUACAUGUACACUGACAUACAUACAUGUAAACAAACCAACAUGUACGGUAAACAAACAUACGUGUACACUGACAUACAUACAUGUAAAAAAAAAACAUGUACUGUAAACAAACAUACAUGUACACUGACAUACAUACAUGUAAACAAACCAACAUGUAACUAACAACUAACUUUCUACUAUUAAACUCGGACAAAACAGAGAUUCUUGUUCUAGGUCCCAAGAAACAAAGAGAUCUUCUGUUGAAUCUGACAAUUAAUCUUAAUGGUUGUACAGUCGUCUCAAAUAAAACUGUGAAGGACCUCGGCGUUACUCUGGACCCUGAUCUCUCUUUUGAAGAACAUAUCAAGACCAUUUCAAGGACAUAUUUUUUCCAUCU